rnacentral:antisense_RNA from 1 species
UUCAAUGGCGGUUCAGCAGGGGAGGCCUUGGCCUCGCCGGUGGAUACUCCGGUAUUGCAAACCCUGCUUGAACCGUCACCAAU